CCUCCAGGUUUGGUGAAAGGACCAACACCGAACCUCUUGCCAUGGGCAAGUUCCUUGAUUGGUACCAGGAAGGGUGGGAAAACAACCUGAAGGUAAUUCUCCUUGCACACAACAGUAGCAUCUAGACCGAGUACGGGCGGGCGCCGCAGCUGUUGAAUGAGGCAAACAACACAAUUGUAUAUACAAUUAUUGCAUAUACUGUAGUCUUAUAAAUUUGUGAUCGACUUAGUGUUGUUUGACUAUUGCUAUUUUGUAUAACGUACUUUUAGAUCACUGAAACUCCACCUGAUGUGGUGGAAGUUGUCGAACCAGAUCAGAACACCUUCGAGGACUACCUUCAGGCACGGACUGAGAACGAUGUGGAGAUUUUUGACCAGGGAUACCUCGGUGGAAGCCAACAAUCUUCUACAGUUGGAGAAGUUGGACGGUCGACCACUGGAAGCACUGACGCCCUACACUUCAGUGAAGCCCAAAAGACAAAGACCAUCGACUGUCCGAGCCCCCCAGGAGGUAUCCCAUCCACCAGAACCAGUGAGUCCAAAUCAG